UACGUAGGGUGCAAGCGUUGUCCGGAAUUAUUGGGCGUAAAGAGCUCGUAGGCGGCUUGUCACGUCGACUGUGAAAACCCGGGGCUCAACUCCGGGCCUGCAGUCGAUACGGGCAUCACUGGAGUUCGGCAGGGGAGACUGGAAUUCCUGGUGUAGCGGUGAAAUGCGUAGAUAUCUGGAGGAACACCGGUGGCGAAGGCGGCAUCCUGGACCAACACUGACACUGAUGAGCGAAAGCCAGGGGAGCAAACGGG
rnacentral:rRNA from 1 species